CAUGCAAGUCGAACGGACGAUGAAGAGCUUGCUUUUCAGAGUUAGUGGCGGACGGGUGAGUAACGCGUGGGCAACCUGCCUCAUACAGGGGGAUAGCAGCUGGAAACGGCUGAUAAAACCGCAUAAGCGCACAGCAUCGCAUGAUGCAGUGUGAAAAACUCCGGUGGUAUGAGAUGGACCCGCGUCUGAUUAGCUAGUUGGUGAGGUAACGGCCCACCAAGGCGACGAUCAGUAGCCGGCCUGAGAGGGUGACCGGCCACAUUGGGACUGAGACACGGCCCAAACUCCUACGGGAGGCAGCAGUGGGGAAUAUUGCACAAUGGGGGAAACCCUGAUGCAGCGACGCCGCGUGAAGGAAGAAGUAUCUCGGUAUGUAAACUUCUAUCAGCAGGGAAGAUAAUGACGGUACCUGACUAAGAAGCCCCGGCUAACUACGUGCCAGCAGCCGCGGUAAUACGUAGGGGGCAAGCGUUAUCCGGAUUUACUGGGUGUAAAGGGAGCGUAGGCGGCGGAGCAAGUCAGAAGUGAAAGCCCGGGGCUCAACCCCGGGACGGCUUUUGAAACUGCCCUGCUUGAUUUCAGGAGAGGUAAGCGGAAUUCCUAGUGUAGCGGUGAAAUGCGUAGAUAUUAGGAGGAACACCAGUGGCGAAGGCGGCUUACUGGACUGACAAUG
rnacentral:rRNA from 1 species